UUUCUUUCUCGGCCUGUUGGCCAAGAUAAAGUGCAGGAUCUUUUCUUAUCAGUUUAAUAAAUAAGUGACCAACCCCCAAAUUUUACUCUGAAAAAAAAAAAAUUUAAGGCAACAAACAUUU
rnacentral:snRNA from 1 species